rnacentral:rRNA from 1 species
GAUGAACGCUGGCGGCGUGCCUAAUACAUGCAAGUCGAGCGAACGGACGAGAAGCUUGCUUCUCUGAUGUUAGCGGCGGACGGGUGAGUAACACGUGGAUAACCUACCUAUAAGACUGGGAUAACUUCGGGAAACCGGAGCUAAUACCGGAUGAUAUUUUGAACCGCAUGGUUCAAAAGUGAAAGACGGUCUUGCUGUCACUUAUAGAUGGAUCCGCGCUGCAUUAGCUAGUUGGUAAGGUAACGGCUUACCAAGGCAACGAUGCAUAGCCGACCUGAGAGGGUGAUCGGCCACACUGGAACUGAGACACGGUCCAGACUCCUACGGGAGGCAGCAGUAGGGAAUCUUCCGCAAUGGGCGAAAGCCUGACGGAGCAACGCCGCGUGAGUGAUGAAGGUCUUCGGAUCGUAAAACUCUGUUAUUGGGGAAGAACAUAUGUGUAAGUAACUGUGCACAUCUUGACGGUACCUAAUCAGAAAGCCACGGCUAACUACGUG